GAAAGGAGUCGACUGUGGAAGUUAGAGGACAUGAUCCGGUCUAGGUGAUCAGAAAGUCCUUUGUCCGUUUAGGCAUUAUAAGGCGUCCAGGAAAGAAAUAUGCUUUACUGCCCACGAAGCAUGUGUGCACCUGGAGAGGUCAAGCCACACAACUGAUGAAGUCAAAGUCAACAUUCUAAACUGAACGGACUUGGUUUCAGAGUCCAUCUACGGAAAAAUACUGUGCUGGUCCCUUUUCCAUGAAGCCUUCCCAUUAGCUGAUGGGAGUUAAUUACUCCAUCUAAAACCCUCUGUUGUAACUGCCUUCCCCCCCCCCUCCAUACACACACUGGUUUUCAUCUUAUUCCCGUCUGUUUCAGAGCUGCUAAAUUUCUGACACAGUGACAUCAGUUAUGUCCCCAUACCUCCUAUCACUGCUCUCUCUGACUGAAACACCCUGGUGGCUCUGAACUUGGCUCAUAGAAGCCACUGAAAGCAGCGCUCAUUCUUUGGGCUACUACUCUCUUCUGGGCUUACUUCAUGCUAGGAUUAUUUGCUACAUCCUCAUCCCCUGCUAAGCCAUUUGCCGUUUGAUGCGUUCAUUUACCUUACUAGUAUAGUUUUGGGUCUGCACCGUGCCCACCACAAAGCUCUCUUCUUGCACACUUGGUCUGCAGCUGGUGGUUUUGCUUGGGGAGAUGCUGCAAAUUUCAGCAGGUUGGAAAAGCCAAAUCACUCUGUGCGUGCUUUGGAAGGUUAUACCCAUAAUUCCUUCUGAGUUCUCUGCUCCCGUCUCCCUCCUCUCCUCCGUGCUUCUCACUGCAAUGUUAUGUCCAAGUACACAGAGCCAAGCAACCGUGAACUGAAUCCUUGGAAACCGUAACUAAAUAAACUCUCCCUCUUUUUGU